GACGAACGCUGGCGGCGUGCCUAAUACAUGCAAGUCGAACGCUGAAGCGAUGAUCUUUCUCUUCUUGGAUGAGUUGCGCACGGGUGAGUAACGCGUAGGUAACCUGCCUUUUAGCGGGGGAUAACUUUUGGAAACGAUAGCUAAUACCGCAUAACAUUUGCUGCCACAUGUCUUUUUUUUGAAAGGGGCAUUUGCUCCACUACAAGAUGGACCUGCGUUGUCUUAGGUAGUAGGUGAAGUAAUGGCUCACCUAGGCGACGAUACAGAGCCGACCUGAGAGGGAGGACGGGCAAAAUGGGAGUGGGAAAAGGGCCAGAAGGAUAAGGGAAGGAGGAGGAGGGGAACAUGGGGAAAGGGGGGAAAACAGAACGAAGAAAGACGAGUGAGGGAAGAAGGGAGUCGGGUCGGAAAGCACUGUUGUAAGUCAAGAACGGGAGGGAGAGUGGAAAGUUCACACUGUGACGGUAGCUAAAAAGAAAGGGACGGCUAACUACGUG
rnacentral:rRNA from 1 species